GAUGAAGAACGUAGCGAAAUGCGAUACUUGGUGUGAAUUGCAGAAUCCCGUGAACCAUCGAGUCUUUGAACGCAAGUUGCGCCCGAAGCCAUUAGGCCGAGGGCACGCCUGCCUGGGCGUCACACGUCGUUGCCCCCCCAUCUACUCCUUCGGGAUUGCGGGGGGCGGAUGAUGGCCUCUCGUGCGCCUCGUCGCGCGGUUGGCCUAAAUGCCAAGUCCUCGGCGACGCACGCCACGACAAUCGGUGGUUGCGAAACCUCGGUUGCCUGUCGUGUGCGGUCGUCGCGCAUCGAGGGCUCGAAAAAAUUGCCGGGCUCCGGCUCGGCUUUCAACGCGACCCCAGGUCAGGCGGGGUUACCCGCUGAAUUUAAGCAUAUCAAUAAGCGGAGGA
rnacentral:misc_RNA from 1 species